GAGAUGCUCUGCAGAGUGUGAGGAGACAGGAGAUGCUCUGCAGUGUGUGAGGUGCCAGGAGAUGAGAUGCUCUGCAGAGUGUGAGGAGACAGGAGAUGCUCUGCAGUGUAUGAGGUGGCAGGAGAUGAGAUGCUCUGCAGAGUGUGAGGAGACAGGAGAUGCUCUGCAGUGUAUGAGGUGUCAGGAGAUGAGAUGCUCUGCAGAGUGUGAGGAGAUGAGAGGCUCUGCAGAGUGUGAGGAGACAGGAGAUGAGCGGCUCUGCAGAGUGUGAGGAGACAGGAGAUGCUCUGCAGAGUGUUAGGAGACAGGAGAUGAGAGGCUCUGCAGAGUGUGAGGAGACAGGAGAUGAGAGGCUCUGCAGAGUGUGAGGUGGCAGGAGAUGCUCUGCAGUGUGUGAGGUGGCAGUAGAUGAGAUGCUCUGCAGAGUGUGAGGAGACAGGAGAUGCUCUGCAGAGUGUGAGGUGGCAGGUAAGGCUCUGCAGAGUGUGAGGUGGCAGGAGAUGAGAUGCUCUGCAGUGUAUGAGGUGGCAGGAGAUGCUCUGCAGAGUGUGAGGUGGCAGUAGAUGAGAUGCUUUGCAGAGUGUGAGGAGAUGCUAUGCAGUGCGAGGUGGCAGGAGAUGCUCUGCAGAGUGUGAGGAGACUGGAGAUGCUCUGCAGAGUGUGUGAGGAGAUGAAAUGCUUUGCAGAGUGUGAGGAGACAGGAGAUGCUCUGCACAAUGCAUGAUGUGAUGUACCUCUUGAUAUUGUGUGUGUUUGCUUGGUACCAGUGUAAAGGUCUGACUGCCAGCAGGAGGAUGG